rnacentral:rRNA from 1 species
AACGAACGCUGGCGGCAUGCCUAACACAUGCAAGUCGAACGAGACCUUCGGGUCUAGUGGCGCACGGGUGCGUAACGCGUGGGAACCUGCCCUUAGGUUCGGAAUAACUCCCCGAAAGGGGUGCUAAUACCGGAUAAUGUCUUCGGACCAAAGAUUUAUCGCCUUUGGAUGGGCCCGCGUUGGAUUAGCUAGUUGGUAGGGUAAAAGCCUACCAAGGCGACGAUCCAUAGCUGGUCUGAGAGGAUGAUCAGCCACACUGGGACUGAGACACGGCACAGACUCCUACGGGAGGCAGCAGUGGGGAAUAUUGGACAAUGGGCGAAAGCCUGAUCCAGCAAUGCCGGGUGAGUGAUGAAGGCAUUAGGGUUGUAAAGCUCUUUUACCCGGGAUGAUAAUGACAGUACCGGGAGAAUAAGCUCCGGCUAACUCCGUG